rnacentral:tRNA from 1 species
GCGGAUUUAGCUCAGUUGGGAGAGCGCCAGACUGAAGAUUUGGAGGUCCUGUGUUCGAUCCACAGAAUUCGCACCA